rnacentral:rRNA from 1 species
AGUCGAGCGGCAGCGGAAAGUAGCUUGCUACUUUGCCGGCGAGCGGCGGACGGGUGAGUAAUGUCUGGGAAACUGCCUGAUGGAGGGGGAUAACUACUGGAAACGGUAGCUAAUACCGCAUGACCUCGAAAGAGCAAAGUGGGGGAUCUUCGGACCUCACGCCAUCGGAUGUGCCCAGAUGGGAUUAGCUAGUAGGUGAGGUAAUGGCUCACCUAGGCGACGAUCCCUAGCUGGUCUGAGAGGAUGACCAGCCACACUGGAACUGAGACACGGUCCAGACUCCUACGGGAGGCAGCAGUGGGGAAUAUUGCACAAUGGGCGCAAGCCUGAUGCAGCCAUGCCGCGUGUGUGAAGAAGGCCUUAGGGUUGUAAAGCACUUUCAGCGAGGAGGAAGGCAUCAUACUUAAUACGUGUGGUGAUUGACGUUACUCGCAGAAGAAGCACCGGCUAACUCCGUGCCAGCAGCCGCGGUAAUACGGAGGGUGCAAGCGUUAAUCGGAAUUACUGGGCGUAAAGCGCACGCAGGCGGUUUGUUAAGUCAGAUGUGAAAUCCCCGCGCUUAACGUGGGAACUGCAUUUGAAACUGGCAAGCUAGAGUCUUGUAGAGGGGGGUAGAAUUCCAGGUGUAGCGGUGAAAUGCGUAGAGAUCUGGAGGAAUACCGGUGGCGAAGGCGGCCCCCUGGACAAAGACU